UACGUAGGGUGCAAGCGUUGUCCGGAAUUAUUGGGCGUAAAGAGCUCGUAGGCGGUCUGUCGCGUCUGCUGUGAAACUCAGGGCUUAACCCUGAGCUUGCAGUGGGUACGGGCAGACUAGAGGUGGCGGUAGGGGAGACUGGAAUUCCGUGGUGAUAGCGGUGAAAUGCGCAGAUAUCAGGAGGAACACCGGUGGCGAAGGCGGGUCUCUGGGCCGUAACUGACGCUGGAGGAGCGGAAAG
rnacentral:rRNA from 1 species